rnacentral:pre_miRNA from 1 species
AGCAAGGUAAUACUCCCUCUCUCUCCCGUCCUAUUUUAAGUGUCUUAUUUAAAGACUUUUUAUAAUUAAUAUUUGUAUUGUUAUGAUAUAAUAAAAUAUGAAUAGUACUUUACUUGUGACUUAUGUUCCUAAAUUUUUUUAAAAAAAAUUCAAAUAAAACGGACUGUCAAAGUUGGACGCGAAAAACCAUGGUUGUACCUAAA